UCGUUGCCAUUUUGGCCCGAG
rnacentral:sRNA from 1 species